rnacentral:rRNA from 1 species
GACGAACGCUGGCGGCGUGCUUAACACAUGCAAGUCGAGCGGUAAGGCCCUUUCGGGGGUACGACGAGCGGCGAACGGGUAGAGUAACACGUGGGUGACCUGCCCUCAGCUCUGGGAUAAGCCUGGGAAACCGGGUACUAAUACCGGAUAUGACUCCAUGACGCAUGUUGUGGGGUGGAAAGCCUUGUGCGGCUGAGGAUGGGCCCGCGGCCUAUCAGCUUGUUGGUGGGGUGAUGGCCUACCAAGGCGACGACGGGUAGCCGGCCUGAGAGGGCGACCGGCCACACUGGGACUGAGACACGGCCCAGACUCCUACGGGAGGCAGCAGUGGGGAAUCUUGCGCAAUGGGCGAAAGCCUGACGCAGCGACGCCGCGUGAGGGAUGACGGCCUGGUUGUAA